AUUGAACGCUGGCGGCAUGCCUUACACAUGCAAGUCGAACGGUAACGCGGGGCAACCUGGCGACGAGUGGCGAACGGGUGAGUAAUGCAUCGGAACGUGCCCAGUAGUGGGGGAUAGCCCGGCGAAAGCCGGAUUAAUACCGCAUACGACCUACGGGUGAAAGCGGGGGAUCGCAAGACCUCGCGCUAUUGGAGCGGCCGAUGUCAGAUUAGGUAGUUGGUGGGGUAAAGGCCUACCAAGCCUUCGAUCUGUAGCUGGUCUGAGAGGACGACCAGCCACACUGGGACUGAGAUACGGUCCAGACUCCUACGGGAGGCAGCAGUGGGGAAUUUUGGACAAUGGGGGCAACCCUGAUCCAGCCAUUCCGCGUGAGUGAAGAAGGCCUUCGGGUUGUAAAGCUCUUUCGCAAGGGAAGAAAACUUAGGCUCUAACAUAGCUUGAGGCUGACGGUACCUUGAUAAGAAGCACCGGCUAACUACGUGCCAGCCGCCGCCGUAAGAC
rnacentral:rRNA from 1 species